GACGAACGCUGGCGGCAUGCUUAACACAUGCCAGUCGAACGGAAAGGCCCUGCUUUUGUGGGCUGCUCGACUGGCGGACGGGUGAGUAACACGUGAGUAACCAGCCCUUGCCUUUGGGAUAACUUCAGGAAACUGAGUCUAAUCCCGGAUAGGAGCUCCUGCUGCAUGGUGGGGGUUGGAAAGUUUCGGCGGUUGGGGGUGGACUAGCGGCUUAUCAGCUUGUUGGGUGGGUAGUGGCUUACCAAGGCUUUGACGGGUAGCCGGGCUGAGAGGGUGACCGGCCACAUUGGGACUGGAAUACGGCCCAGACCCCUACGGGAGGCAGCAGUGGGGAAGAUUGCACAAGAGGCGGAAGCCUGAUGUAGCAACGCAGCGUGCGGGAUGACGGGCAGCGGGUGGGAUACCGCAUUCGCCUGUGACGAAGUGUGAGUGACGGUAAUGGGUAAAUAAGCACCGGCUAACUACGUG
rnacentral:rRNA from 1 species